rnacentral:rRNA from 1 species
AGCGAACGCUGGCGGCAGGCCUAACACAUGCAAGUCGAACGAACCUUUCGGGGUUAGUGGCGGACAGGUGAGUAACACGUGGGAACGUGCCUUUAGGUUCGGAAUAACUCAGGGAAACUUGUGCUAAUACCGAAUGUGCCCUUCGGGGGAAAGAUUUAUCGCCUUUAGAGCGGCCCGCGUCUGAUUAGCUAGUUGGUUGAGGUAAUGGCUCACCAAGGCGACGAUCAGUAGCUGGUCUGAGAGGAUGAUCAGCCACAUUGGGACUGAGACACGGCCCAAACUCCUACGGGAGGCAGCAGUGGGGAACCUUGCGCAAUGGGCGAAAGCCUGACGCAGCCAUGCCGCGUGAAUGAUGAAGGUCUUAGGAUUGUAAAAUUCUUUCACCGGGGACGAUAAUGACGGUACCCGGAGAAGAAGCCCCGGCUAACUUCGUG